GAAGUAACCUUGAAUGUACAGCAACAUUAAUACUUUGAGAAUGAAAACCUUCUAAAACCAUGACUAGAGCGAGACUCAACGAAUACAGCAAAGAGCUGCUGUUUUUAUGAAUAAGGAGAGCUGUGAAAGCCUGUCUGCAGAUGGAGGUCCCAGUGAAUGUCCCAAGAGACUGCUGGUACAUCUUUACUUGUAUGCCAGGGGUUGGCACCGCUCACCUUCCCACAAUCCCCUGCACAUUGCUCCGUGUGCUCCAGUUGAAAAUGAAUGGGGGCAGAACUUGGUCUGGUGUAUUCGGAAAUGGUGGAAACCCUACGUGAGUCGGGUGAGAGGCAUCCUCACUACUGCUCCCUCCCUCAGACUGACCAUCAGAUGCAGGUCAUCAGUCCAGUAAAUAAAAAGAAGCAAAUUAUUAUGUUCACUCAGCUGGGCCUCACAAGUAAUACAGCAAAUGAUCUAUUACCAGUGAUCAUAUACUAAUAACAUUUAAAAAAUAUAUAUUUUCUAAUUUCAAAAUGGUCUGAGAAGAACAACACUGGCAGGGCAAUUCAAGCUUAGCCAAUGUGCAGUGAUAAUGUAUUGGGCCUAUAGCCUACUGCACAAACCUCAUUGCUACAGAGCAGUUUUUAAUUGGUUAUUGUUGCAAAGGCUUACGUUUCUAAGUCAUGUUCAAAAAUAAAUCUGAGCGGUAGAUCAUUUUGACUCAGAAAGUGAUCUCGACUCAGAAAAGGUUUGUGACCACUGUUCUAAAGAGUUACCGUUUAUUAGAACCUUUUUAUAAUAGGGAUCAUGAAUUUACUUAAUGAGUAAACAGCAUCAAUAAUUAAUUAUUUUUUCAAACAUUUUUACUGUUGCCUCGACAUCACUGGCAAUUACCACUCAAACAACACAUAAAGCUUUAGUUGUAAACACAUGUUCUGACUUGGAGUGACAACUUUGUGUAUUCCACUUGACACCAGUGUUAAGGCAGAGCAGACAUUGAGCCAUGAGGCAAUUUCAUUCUGCAGCCCUAGAUCCAGUCUAAGUAUGCGUCCCGAAUGGAACCCUAGUCCCUUAAAAGUACACUACUUUUGUCUAGGGCCCAUAGGGCUCUGUUCUGGUGAGCUCUACUACAAAAUCCUAAUUUCAAAGUUCGCUGUAGUCAGCACAUUCAACAUGGAGAACUUUGUGGCAUGUUGUUGGCAAUGGCAAGCCAACUCAAACUAGACACUGAGGAAAGAUUGUAUUUCUAAUGUUGCAUUGUAGGACCCGCAUCUCAGUCCAAUGGUGUCAAUCAAAUUAAUUAUUUGUUUGUUUAUUCUUUGGGACACAUUACUUGAAAUGUGAAUAUGUUGUCUGUGAAUGGCACUUUGCAUAAGUAGUAAACAAUGAAUCCAAAAAUGCAAAUGUGUCUAGCAAACAUGAAACUAAUGAAACACACUUCAAGGCAGUUGACAGAUUUUGGAACUCCUUCCACUCUGAAUAGUGGCAAAGUGUAAAGUAUGAAACCUCAAUGCUUUGGAACAGAUGGUUUAUUUAUCUUCACAGAAACACAGAGAGCAACUCUGAGCACAUAGGGAACAGGUGCAAUAGACAUCAACCAUUCAUAUCCAUCUGCUUUCAGAGUUAACACAGGGUGUGACUGGGG